AGAGACAGCAGUAGCCGCGGUAAUACAGAGGGUGCGAGCGUUAAUCGGAUUUACUGGGCGUAAAGCGUGCGUAGGCGGCUUUUUAAGUCGGAUGUGAAAUCCCUGAGCUUAACUUAGGAAUUGCAUUCGAUACUGGGAAGCUAGAGUAUGGAAGAGGAUGGUAGAAUUCCAGGUGUAGCGGUGAAAUGCGUAGAGAUCUGGAGGAAUACCGAUGGCGAAGGCAGCCAUCUGGCCUAAUACUGACGCUGAGGUACGAAAGCAUGGGGAGCAAACAGGAUUAGAUACCCCAGUAGUCCCUGUCUCUUAUAC
rnacentral:rRNA from 1 species